UUGAGGACAGCUGGAGCUGCAGCACAUGAGCUCCAUCAACACUGUGCACCAUCGUCCUUCUUCAUGCCCACCUACUCCUCUGUAUGAACACCAGGCAACCUGCCUGUCACCCACGCCGCGUGCAGGGUGAGCACACGCAUAAAGAAAUGGGCUUGUUCCCUCGUCCCUGCCUUUCCAAGGAACCCUACACUUGUAAUUUCAGCUGGGGAACUGGAUAUUUCCCAAACCCUUGGACCAACAGAGCCCAGGAAGUGGGAAUGAGCAAGUCAUUUGGGUAAG